UUGCUUAAGCAGCACAUAUAUUAAGAUUGAAAAGACACUAAGAAGAUUAAGCAUGGUCCCUGUAUGACAUACAAAUUUAUGAAGGAUUCCAUAAUAAA
rnacentral:snRNA from 1 species